rnacentral:rRNA from 1 species
ACGGGUGAGUAACGCGUGGGCAACCUACCUCUAACUGGGGGAUAACACAGGGAAACCUGUGCUAAUACCGCAUAACAUAUUGAAAGGGCAUCCUUUUAAUAUCAAAGGAGAAAUCCGGUGAGAGAUGGGCCCGCGUCCAAUUAGCUAGUUGGUGAGGUAAAGGCUCACCAAGGCGACGAUUGGUAGCCGAACUGAGAGGUUGAUCGGCCACAUUGGGACUGAGACACGGCCCAGACUCCUACGGGAGGCAGCAGUGGGGGAUAUUGCGCAAUGGGGGGAACCCUGACGCAGCAACGCCGCGUGAAGGAUGAAGGUUUUCGGAUUGUAAACUUCUUUGAUGAGGGACGAAAAAAAUGACGGUACCUCAAAAACGAGCCACGGCUAACUACGUGCCAGCAGCCGCGGUAAUACGUAGGUGGCGAGCGUUGUCCGGAAUUACUGGGUGUAAAGGGCGCGUAGGCGGGGAUGCAAGUCAGAUGUGAAAUACCGGGGCUUAACCUCGGGGGUGCAUCUGAAACUGUAUUUCUUGAGUGU